UACGUAGGGCGCAAGCGUUGUCCGGAAUUAUUGGGCGUAAAGAGCUCGUAGGCGGUUUGUCACGUCGGAUGUGAAAGCCCGGGGCUUAACCCCGGGUCUGCAUUCGAUACGGGCAGACUAGAGUGUGGUAGGGGAGAUCGGAAUUCCUGGUGUAGCGGUGAAAUGCGCAGAUAUCAGGAGGAACACCGGUGGCGAAGGCGGAUCUCUGGGCCAUUACUGACGCUGAGGUGCGAAAGCGUGGGGAGCAAACAGG
rnacentral:rRNA from 1 species